UUGCAUCAGUUGGUGUUUGCAUCAGAAGUAUAUUACAGUAUAGUUGAUGUAUGAUGUCAGUGACUAUAGUUGUGUAUAUUACAGUAUGCUGCAGUGAAUAGCCAGUUUAUAUUAAGUCAAUGUUCAGUAAUGUAUUAGACUGAAGAGUGUUAGUUAACAUGAAACCAAUAAGCAAUGUAUCUGUAUGUGAAUACAUGAAGUUUGUAAGUAAAUUAACUACGUUAACUUUUAAUGUAGAUUACUUAUUUUGGUCUCUUGAGAACAUGAUUUGAAAGCAAUAUAUUUUACAGGAGAAUAGAUGCUUUUUGGACAACUGAAAAUAACACUUCUGAAGAUCUGCUAUAUAUUUUAUGCAUUGGCAUAUCUUUGUUCCUGACAGUUCAGAGAGGGGCUUGGACGAGAUGGACUAUGUGCCAAGUAAAUAACUGCCAAACGGAAACUAUGAGAAAUGAUGUUCAUCCGUGGGCCAAUUUAUACCUAUCCAAAUUGGCUCUUUAAUGGCCGAGAGAGUGCAGCAUGCCCAAGGUCACCAUCCAUUGAUUCAAACCCUGGUCUUCAAAGCCAAUGUUCAAUCCACUACACCAUGCUGGAAUCAGACACAUACCUUCUAACAUUUCACAAAUGAAAACCAGGACACCUAUGGCCAAGCAACAUCUGCAAGUAGUCAACAUGAGGAAUAGAGGGUGAGAAAUAAAACCAAGUAAAUAAAUUUGGUGCUUAUCACACUCUAUUAGUUGUUUCAGGUCGUUCUGUUUGAACUUCAUUUUUCCUAUGUUUAUAAACACAACUUUUCAAACCAUCACUGUAUUUGUGUUUCAGUGGCAUUAGUUCUAGUGUUUGCUUUUUUUUUCACAAGUGCAAUACAAGACCAUUUACAUCAACCUGUUUUAUUAGUUUUUUUUUUAAAUGAACCUAUAGGAAGCCAUAAUUAUGAAAUUGCACAAUUAUGUAAUGGCGCAAUUAUGGAACCCCCACUCAUUUUCCAGAUUGGGAAGAUGACCACAUACUGCAACCGUUCCAAAACCAUUUUUCUGUACUUUUCCAGAAAAGGAACACCUGCCUAGUUCUCCUUUUGUAUAUUACUCUUAACAUUCUAGCUUAUUUACUCUUUAUUUACUUUUUAAACUCUGUUGUUUCUCUGUAGAAUUACAUUAGUACUGCACUCCUACACUACACUACCAUUAAAAAAUAGGGAAAUACUGAAAAACAAAUAACAAAUGUACUGUAGUGCUCUUGGGAGCUCUUAAGUGUCCUUCUAACCCAACCACUGGAAGCAAUCUGGUGUUUCUGUGCUGGAGAAGAGAAAAA